GUGAAUCAUCGAAUUUUUGAACGCAAAUUGCAAUCCCUGGUAUUCAGGGGAGUAUGCCUGUUUGAGGGUCGUUAGAAGAAAAAUCGAAGCAUCGUUCUUUUUUUUGAGGGUGAUCGCGCCGGAAUUGAGCCGUCUUUCAAAUGUUACUUCAUGUUAAAGUGGUUUAAAAUUCAUCCAUUCGGUAUGUCUAAAGCGUAUCUAUGAUCAAUUUUGUUUAAGAACGCGCGUUGAUGUACCAUCAUAUGUAGUAUGUUUGACCUGGGUCAUACGACUCAUUAGU
rnacentral:misc_RNA from 1 species